rnacentral:rRNA from 1 species
UGGGGAAUAUUGCACAAUGGGGGAAACCCUGAUGCAGCGACGCCGCGUGAGCGAAGAAGUAUUUCGGUAUGUAAACUUCUAUCAGCAGGGAAGAUAGUGACGGUACCUGACUAAGAAGCCCCGGCUAACUACGUGCC